GCAAUCCAUGUCACAUGUUUGGGUUUCAGAAAACCUGAACCUGACAAGCAGAACCCUCUAGACUAGAGUCAGGGAUGUUCACAAGCAAGCCCUGAGAGAAGACAAAAUUUUGCCUGAGGCUGGAAGCCAGACCAAAUUCCAACCUGGUGAAGAACUAUGAUUCACUUAUUUUCACAUUUCCUCAUUGCUAGGGAGUUACGAAAGGUUACUACUUUUUGUGUUCACAGCCUCAAGUGAACUUUUAUUUAUUCACGCAGCAAAUAAUGUUCUGUGUGCUCACUGUGUGCAGGUGCCAGUCUCCUCAGUGUUAGUGAACAAGAAAAUGUCUGCAUAUAAAGUUUCAUAGUGGAGAUGGAAAGGAAUACAAAAUUAAGCAAAAUGGUAGUAAUAUUGUUUUGGGAAUAAUGCUGUGAUGAAACAAAAGCAUAGUAGAGAUUUAGGAAAGGGGAAGGGUUUAGAUAGAGGGGAUUGUAUGAGCUCGUGGGAGGCUGCAUUUGGGCAGAGCGUGAUGGAAGCCAGAGAUUCACAUUUUAGAUCUAGAAUGUUGCUUUUUGCAAUAACCUUCUGCUGAAUUGCAGACUAAAUGAUGAUAAGUCUACCUCAUGAGGGAUUCUACUUCCUAAAACACAGUAGUUUGUAUACAAAGUUUGAUUUACCAUUGCUUUGAUUGUAAACAUGCAGCAAUGUAAAAAGUUCUAUUAUCAAAUUAUUAGUGAGUACAGAACUAUUAUUUCCAAUGUAUCAGAUGGUUCCACUAUUAGUUGAAAUCUUAGUGGAUGACUAGUGCUCAUAAAAAAUUAAUAGAAACCUUGAAGCCACUUGGAUUGUUGAUUUUUACAGACAACCGAGAGACAUCAAAAUACUGCUCCCUCUACCAUUACAACUGCAAAAUAGGAUAUAGUACAUAGUCGACUCUUGCAACAGAAGAUAUUUUCAUAACACAGCAUCAUCACAUGACCUUUUUCCAAAUAUAAAUUCACUUCUCUGCCAGGUUUAUGACAUGAUAGCUAAACAACUUUGGUAUUAAAACCAGUGGAGACAGUUAGCAAGGGAAAUAAGGAAGCCUCCAAUGCACAUGACAUAUUAUGUAGAUGUGUAUAUUCGUGUCCAGGAUUUCUGUACUUCCACAUAUUCUAGAAAUCUAGAAAUUCAUUUUCAUGAAGACCCUGCACACCAUGGAUCAGCUGACACCGUCUAGACCAGUCAUCUGGCUCAACCAGUUCUGCCGUCCCACCCAGGAACGGAAAACAGCAAGAAAAACUCACUGGGAUUCCACCUCCAAACUGGACAAUCAGCACUCCCCACUUUCCAAGCCCCUACCCACCAAAUUUAAAGGCUCUGAUCCUUGAAUGUUCAGGGAGACUGAUAUGAGUAAUAAUAAAACUUUGGGCUCCCACACAGC